GUAUUAAUUGUUAAUCUAUAAGUUAAAUAAAUUAAAAUAAUAUUUUUUCAUAAGCAGCUUGAAGACACAAUUGAGCUAUGGAUGCAAAUGAGGAUUAAACCAUUGAUUAUUUUGGGAACAUAUAAGGAUGGACAUAUUUUUUUUAUGGAAUGUUUUUAUUCAUAACGAUGAGAACGAUGAAGAUGAUUGGCAAAUGCAGCAUAUCAGAGAACCACAUUUAAAAAUCAAUCAUUAUUUCGAAAAUGUUGUUCUUUUAUAUUCUGUCACAGAUUUUAAAUCACAUUUUCGUAUCAGCAGAAAUACUUUUGAGCAAUUAAUGCAAAAUCUUGGACCAGCAAUAAUUGAAAGACACAAUUUGCCUAAGUUGCCACCACAUAAACAGAUUGCUAUAGCUCUUUGGAUUUUUGGAAAUCAAGAAGUUAAGUAAUAAAAUUAGGUUAAGUAAUAAAAAUUAAUUUUUUCAUUGUAACACUUUUUCUUUAGAU